rnacentral:rRNA from 1 species
AUGCCGCGGCUUAAGCGUCGCCGCCCCUGCAAGGCCCAGGAGCAAAAGAAAGUCGUGCUCACUCCGAAGAGAGAGAGAGAGAGAGAGAGAGAGAGAGAGAGAGAGAGAGAGAGAGAGAGAGAGAGAGAGAAGAGAAGAGAAGAAGAAGAAACUGAAAAGCACAACGGAAUGGCAGAGCUACUGCAGAGCGUCAUCAAUGGAUUUGUAUUGCCACUUAAGGAAGAGCAUGAAUUGUUCCUUAUCUGGGCCUUGAUUCCACUUCACAAGCCAAGCUUUCAUACACAGUUAUCAAGGGCCUACUGA